UCUUAAUCAACGCGCAUCGUCCGGCUGGCGGGCAAACGUUGCGGCCCCCAGAAGCAAUAAACUUCGGGUCUCGGCCGCGUCUAUUGCGCUGCAUUCGCGCCUCGCUGCUCGGCAAGCUUCGGAAAGCGGACUGCAACGGCAGAAUUCGUGGAACAUGGACGCGGAAACGGAAACAUCGGAAGCGGAAACACCGGAAGCGGAAACACCCGAAGCGGAAACCGGUUUGAGUGACAAUGAGGAAACAGCAGUGCACAUUAUAGGUACGCCGAAGAGAAUGGGACGAAGACUGUCUGGGUUCUGACGGUGGCAUGCUCCGGCCACCGCCAGUCGCACUUAACUACUUGAAGAGGCCGGACUUGUAUCGACAGCAUCUGCCAUGCUCUACAAAAACACACGCAACACGUGCCGCCACAUCCACAGUAACCCAUUGCCCCUUAUUCCGGCAAAUAACGUGGCCAUUGUUCAGAAGAAACUGUGAGGACUGUAAAAACUGCUUCAUUGCUCCGGCAGCACCAGCGUUUCACGGUGCUUCGAAAAGAAAGAGAAACGGUCACUAUGUCCUGGGUUCGUUCACCGCACCCUGCAUUCUUCUCGUAAAACGAGCGUGAUAUGUGCAAUUGCACAAUUAUACUCCACCGCACUAUAGUUCCGUGCACUGUAGCUAAAGAACCAGACCAGCUUUACCCCAACCAGGACACACAGUGCCCGCAGAGUCUCACUCUCCUCAGUCCCAAUACUCAGUAUGAUGUUAUCCUAAGUAGUCAAUUAAGGUUUGGCAAGGGGACAAUUUGGAGAGGCUGGAAGUAAGUGCCUCUUGCUGCUGCAUUUCACUUACGUAUUGUGCGAAAUAAA